ensembl:snoRNA
AACACUUGUAUGUGCUUCUGUUUAACUUGUGAACAGAGACUUAUAGACAGCAAAAAAGAAAUCCUCCUCUGAACCCAGAGCUUACUGUCCACCACGAGUUUUGAUACAUAUAAGAAUAAG